rnacentral:rRNA from 1 species
UACGUAGGGGGCAAGCGUUGUCCGGAAUCAUUGGGCGUAAAGCGCGUGUAGGCGGUUCGGUAAGUCUGCUGUGAAAGUCCAGGGCUCAACCCUGGGAUGCCGGUGGAUACUGUCGGGCUUGAGUACGGAAGAGGCGAGUGGAAUUCCUGGUGUAGCGGUGAAAUGCGCAGAUAUCAGGAGGAACACCAUGGCGAAGGCAGCUCGCUGGGACG